UUUAAUACCUAUAUUCACGACCCAGGCAGAAACAUCAGGGGUUGGAGAGGAAAAGUAAGAUCCUCUGACAAACCAGAAGUUGCAUAUCCUAUAUAUAUUCCUAUUGAUAUCUUAUCCAGCUUCAAAGAGUUUAGAAAAAUUCUCUACGAACAAGGCACUUUGAAUAUUUAUAGAUUUUAAUUAACUUUUAUAAUAAUAAUAAAAUGUAUGGAAUUUA